AAAAAAUUUUCCAAAGCAUGAGACACGGCAUCUUUCUGAACAUAAGAAUAUUGCCAGAUGUGCAAGAUUUAGUCCUGAUGGGAGGUUUGUUGCCACUGGAAGUGCAGACACAUCAAUUAAGCUCUUUGAGAUUUCAAAAAUCAAGCAAAUGUUGCUUUCAGAUACAAGGGAUGGUCCUGUCAGACCUGUCAUACGGACAUUUUAUGACCACAUACAACCUAUAAAUGAUUUGGACUUCCAUCCUCAAAGUACUAUUCUUAUAUCAGGAGCCAAGGAUCACAC
rnacentral:misc_RNA from 1 species